UCACUAUGUCUUUAACAAUUCUCUCCUCUAUACAGGGACACAAACACAAAUCAAACUGGCCACAUUUACCAGCCAAGUAUGAAAAAACAUAGUCCUAUUUCUAGCGAUACCCAAAGAAGCAUAUUUUACAUAAAUAGAUUGCCUAAAGCAUAUUUUACAGAUGAACUUAGACUAUUUAACAACUGCCAAACAUUUUUUAGAGCAUGGGUAUGUGCAGAGCUCUCCUUAAACUCCACGCUGAAACCAACCAUUGAUGAUGGCUAUAGUUGCAUAUUUUCAUCAGCUUAGAAUAUGGUUCACCAAGAGGGAGGAGGAAAUAUUGACGUAUUGCUCUGCCAUGAGCUCUCGAGGAAGUGACACUUACUCUGCUGUCAGGUCCAAGUUUGCUGACCUUGCCUAUGGCGAACUCUGCCUUGAAAGAUAACUGUGCAUACAGAAGGGCUGAGAGGUCUGAGCAGAAAAAAGAAGGUGGAUUCUGAAGUCCCUAGAGGGACUCUAGAGUCCUCUAGAGGAACGAAGGGACAGUCUUCUUUAUCCUCCCUGCUGGCCCCGAAGUCAGAGCAGAAAGGCUGAGGGGAAGGCAAGCAGACCUGUGAACUCCUUUCCAGCUGGGAAACCCUGCUCAAAGACACAAGGACGCAGCCUGAACCAUCCCAAGGUUUUGCUACUUCCUUCCUUGACCUCCCUGGACUCCGCGUUGCUUAUUUGGAAAAUUGUGCCAAAAAUGCUUCCCAAUUAGCAUAAUCUGAGCUAUGCUAAAGCUAUGCUGCUACUCAAAAACAACUUGCUCAGAAAAUGCCCCCUGGAGACUUGUUUACACAGCAAGGAGCGGAUCAGCACGCAUUAGGCUGCAGUGCCAUGACUCCUCUUUUUGGCUGCCUCGUGAUGGUUAUACUCUGCUUGUGCUGACAUCGCUGGCCAGGUGCCAGCGCCCAGGUCUCUGUGGAAGGAAAACCCUAAGUCAGCCUAACCACAGGACAGUUUGGGAUCAGCAAGACUUUCCCAGCCUCUUUCAGCUUAGGCACUGGUACAAAGUCUGAGAGAAAUUUCCCUCCACAGAGAAAACCUUAAUCUUCUGGUUAGACAACACCACACACUACAAUUUGAUACUUAAUAAAUUGUCGUGGAGCUAUAAUACAAGUAUUCACUUGGUCACUUAUCCUUUUAGCAAUAAAAAACAACUGGGACUGAAAUUCAGUUGCAAUUUGUUGCAGCUGCUGUGGCAAGGACCCCCUCAGAAAGUAAUUUCCAGAGGAUUCUUCUUGUUAAAAAGCCAUUUCCUUGGCGAGGAGUGGGAUGUCUGGAAGAUAGCAACAGGGACAAAACCAAGCACAGAAGUUUACAAGCAUUCCUGAAGAGCAUUUAAAAAAACCCGUGUUUAUUCAAACAAUUACAAAAACAUUUUAUGCAGCUAAGAAGUUUAGCCCCUCCACCAAACUAUAAAGUAGACUUUUAAACCUAACCUUUGAUAGGCAGAUUUCCUCAUUACCCCUAAGACAACACAGACAACAUGUGAGGCAGCAUCAACACUUGGCUCCACCCUGGAGAAGGUGUGGAGAGAGGAUGGCAACCUCCUGGUUUCCUGGUCCU